rnacentral:rRNA from 1 species
GAAGCUUCUAAAGUGGCGCACGGGUGAGUAACGCGUGGGUAAUCUACCUUUGAAUUGGGGAUAACAUUGCGAAAGCGAUGCUAAUACCGGAUAAUAUCCAGGCAUUUUCGGAUGCCUGAAUCAAAGAUGGCCUCUACAUGUAAGCUAUUGUUUAAAGAUGAGCCCGCGUCCCAUUAGCUUGUUGGUAGGGUAAAGGCCUACCAAGGCGACGAUGGGUAGCUGGUCUGAGAGGAUGAUCAGCCACACUGGAACUGACACACGGUCCAGACUCCUACGGGAGGCAGCAGUGAGGAAUUUUGCGCAAUGGGCGAAAGCCUGACGCAGCAACGCCGCGUGAGUGAUGAAGGCUUUCGGGUCGUAAAGCUCUGUCAAGUGGGAAGAACCCGCAUUUGGCUAAUAUCCAUUUGCGCUGACGGUACCACUGAAGGAAGCACCGGCUAACUCCGUGCCAGCAGCCGCGGUAAUACGGGGGGUGCAAGCGUUACUCGGAAUCACUGGGCGUAAAGCGCGCGUAGGCGGUUUCGCAAGUCGGAUGUGA